rnacentral:rRNA from 1 species
GGGCCCGCACAAGCGGUGGAGUAUGUGGUUUAAUUCGACGCAACGCGAAGAACCUUACCAGGACUUGACAUUGAUUGAAAAGUAUAGAGAUAUAUUCCUCUUCUUCGGAAGACAAGAAAACAGGUGGUGCAUGGCUGUCGUCAGCUCGUGUCGUGAGAUGUUGGGUUAAGUCCCGCAACGAGCGCAACCCUUAUCAUUAGUUGCUAACAUUAAGUUGAGCACUCUAGUGAGACUGCCCGGGUUAACCGGGAGGAAGGUGGGGAUGACGUCAAAUCAUCAUGCCCCUUAUGUCUGGGGCUACACACGUGCUACAAUGGUGGGAACAAAGAGAUGCAAGACCGCAAGGUGGAGCCAAACUCAAAAACCCAUCCCAGUUCGGAUUGUAGGCUGAAACUCGCCUACAUGAAGCUGGAGUUGCUAGUAAUCGCGAAUCAGAAUGUCGCGGUGAAUACGUUCCCGGGCCUUGUACACACCGCCCGUCACACCAUGAGAGUCGGCAACACCCGAAGCCCGUGAGGUAACCUUUUGGAACCAGCGGUCGAAGGUGGGGUUGAUAAUUGGGGUGAAGUCGUAACAAGGUAGCCGUAGGAGAACCUGCGGCUGGAUCAC